rnacentral:lncRNA from 1 species
GUGAAGUAACCGACUCUUUCUUCAAUUUUUCUUUGUGAGUGCCACCUUCGCCAUUUUCUUUGUGGAUUUUUUGGAGAUUUGGUGAUCGGAGUAACCUUUUUGAUCACCGAAAGGUGUUGAUUUGCCAUAGUGAGUUUGAGAUGCAUUAGCAAUGAGUUGGAUGUCUUUUGGUAAGGUGAAGUAUAGAUGCCUGGAGGUGCAUUGGUGAUAUGCACGAGGGAUGUAGAGUGUGACAUUUGGAUCACGACUGGAGAUGUGAUCAAAUGUGUAGAAUCCUUUAUGUGUGAAAGAGGCCUUGAUCAGGUGGAGUGUGAGAGAGGCACUUCUAUCACUUCUGUAAGGUGGAGUCCCAUCAUCCACGUAGGUUGGAAGAAGUGAUGUGGUGAUAGAGGAUUAUCUCGAGAGCUUAGGAUCUAUUGUGACUUACCAGUUAGACAUGAGUUGAGUGAUCUGUUUAGUGAGCAUGGUGGGCGAUGAGAGGAGAUAUGUGUUCUCGAGGUGUGAGCAACAUAGAAUGAGACAGGAUAAGUGUGGUGAGAUCUUUUCUUAGGGUCAUUUAUGCAUGUGUUGCAUAUGUGGUUGACCGUGGUUUGAUUAACUAGGUGUUAUUCUGUAGUUCUGUGCGAACGUGAUUUUGAAAAGAUCUGUGUGUGUGUUAUCCUAUAUAUCUUCAUCGCAUGAUUGCUUGUUCAUUGUGAAUACUUGUUUCUACUUAGAUAUUUUUGACCUUAGCCCUGGUGAGUACAUGGAGCAAGUAUGGUAUGUGUUUCGGUUCGAAACACAAGGUAAGGUUUGUUAUUCCAAUUUUAUUGGAUUACCUUGAUUGUGCAAGUACAAACUGUGUAUUUUGGUUGCUUGCAGAUUAUUGGGCAUCAAGGUGGAGAUUGUUGGGUUUUUUUAUACCCAAUAAUCCGGACGAUGAUUUAAAACAGUUGUCGGAUUAUUUAUCGACACCAUGAACUUGGCUCGGCUCGGCUCGGAGACGAACUACACUUUUGGAUGGCUCGGGUUUGGAUUGGAUGAUUAUUUGAUUAGUUAGACCAUUUGGUGAUUAAUAUGGAGUUAGAAAUUGGCCCAUUAGUUUAGGUUAUAUGGCAGUCCACUUAGAGAUUUCUUAGCCCAUAUUUGGUAACCUAAACUAACAUAUAUAUAUGUAUUUAUCUCCCAGCCGUUUUGGCGUAUGUGUGUUGUAGCAAUGGAGACGAGAGUUGAGAGAAGAGAGGCAGCCGAUAGAGAGGGAAGCCAUGUGAAGUUGUGAGUGAAAUUCAACCAUUGUGAUACCUUCUUCUUCCUCUCCAUACCUUUGUGGAUUGCUAACGCCACCACCCUUCUUCUAUGUGGGGGUUAGAGAGAAAGUGAGCAGUUCAAAGUGAAGGCGAAAGUCUCGGGUCAAGUUGAGGUAAAUCGGUGUUCUUUUGAUUGUUUUCUGAGCCUGGAAUCAAGACUUAUCGAGGAAUUUCCGCUACACACAUUCAGUUAUAUUUCCUCUUCUUGUUCAAACAUAUGACCAUAUAGGCCUAUUAAAAUAAAAUGGACAAGUUUUGGUGUACAUAAAUUAUGUACAUAGGGGUGCCCACACCCCUCACAUGGAAUGAGACCCACCCUCAUGCGGGUCCCAUCUCAUGUGAGGGGUGUAAAUACUCCUAUGUAUCCAAAUUAUAUACACCAAACACAAUCCAAAUAAAAUAUCUCAACCCAUGUGAAGUAACAUUGUCAAAACAUCAAAACGGAGUUUCCUCUGUUGAAUAAUGAACAAAGAUCUUUAUAGUUUAUACGAUAAUUUAUAUUUACUAUCUUGUUUCUUUUAGUGAACAUCUGGAGACUAUACCUUAGCCUAGACUAGUUAGAAAAGAGCUGUAAACGCACCACCGCACCGCGCGUGUCAAGGUUCGUAUAUUACUAAACUUAUCUUGAAAGAAGUGUUUGAUGUUCAUCAAGGAAAUUUGAUAAGUCCCACUUCGCACCUCUUAAAGUCUGUUGCACGUGUUUAGAGGUCAUCUUUGUCUACUGUUUAAUUUCAACAUUUCAAAGCUGGCUUAUUUAUAUUCAUUUGGGCACCUGGUGUCCGAAUCUUCCAUCAUCAGUUCAUCACCCACUUGCGCACAUGGAGUCGUAUUAGGAAUAAAUCUUGUGAUUUGAAUACUAAUUAAAAUUAUCUCGAUUUCAAGUUUUUAUGUAAGGUGGCUCAAUAAAGUAUAAGAGUGAACAAAGGUCUUUGUCACUUUCUAUUUAUGAAAAUUGUGUACUAGGAACAAAUUUUUAUUUCUAAUUUGACGGGCUUUAAACGGAAGAGAAGAUACAAGCUAUAAAGCAUAAUGUACCUGAAAAUUGAAGCAAUUGUACAUGGACACAACAUGGUUUUACUUCAUUUUUUUUUAAUUUAUAAUGGAAAC